rnacentral:rRNA from 1 species
CCUACGGGUGGCAGCAGUGAGGAAUAUUGGUCAAUGGACGAGAGUCUGAACCAGCCAAGUAGCGUGAAGGAUGACUGCCCUCUGGUUUGUAAACUUCUUUUAUAUGGGAAUAAAAUGUUCCACGUGUGGGAUUUUGUAUGUACCAUAUGAAUAAGGACCGGCUAACUCCGUGCCAGCAGCCGCUGUAAUACGGAGGAUCCGAGUGUUAUCUGGAUUUAUUGGGUUUAAAGGGAGCGUAGGUGGUUUGUUAAGUCAGUUGUGAAAGUUUGCGUCUCAACCGUAAAAUUGCAGUUGAAACUGGCAGUCUUGAGUACAGUAGAGGUGGGCGGAAGUCGUGGUGUAGCGGUGAAAUGCUUAGAUAUCACGAAGAACUCCGAUUGCGAAGGCAGUUCACUGGACUGCAACUGACGCUGAGGCUCGAAAGUGUGGGUAUCAAACAGGAUUAGAUACCCGUGUAGUC